rnacentral:lncRNA from 1 species
ACAUAAAUAAAAAUCAAUUUAAAAUAAAUGUUCAUAAAGCAUUGUAAUUGUCAUUAUUACAAAUAAAUAAAUAAUAUAUAUAUAUUUUAAUGAAUUUUUAUUAUUAAAACUUUUUUCUUCUUUUAAAUAGGCCGAUUAAUCGGUAAUCAGCUAUUUUUGGUCCUCUAAAUCGGUAUCGGCGUUGAAAAAUCAUAAAUCGGUCGACCUCUACAUAACACAACCUACUACACUACAUAACACAACCUACUACAAUAGACAACCACUGGCUACUACAUAACACAACCCACUACCACUGGCUACUACAUAACACCAACCUACUACAAUAGACUACCACUGGCUAUACAUAACAAAACCACUACAACAGACUACCACUGGCUCAACAUAACACAACCCACUAAAACGGCACUAAGACUACCACUGGCUACUACAUAACACAACCCACACACGGGCUACUACAUAACAACCCACACAACAGACUACCACUGGCUACUACAUAACACAACCCACUACCACUGGACUACUACAACAUAACCCACUAAAACAGCACUAAAGGCUACACUAGCUGAUAAUAACAUGACCAGUUCAGCUGGUAUUCAGGAAACGACUAAGACUGGACUAAAUUGUCACUACUGAGAUCAGACAUUUCCUCUAGGCAUACUUCAAUGUUACACAGUUAGGCUGUACAUGUUGCUACUAUACAACAUGAACCCUCCUAUUCCAACCAAUG